UGAAUACGAGACGCUACGGCGUCGAAGCAGUCUAUGUCAUACUUCCAAGAAAAGCUUGCACUGUCAUAAACAAAUAAUGCCUGUACCAUAACCGACACAGGUGGGUAGGUAGAGUAUACUAAGGGGCGCGAGAUAACUCUCUCUAAGGAACUCGGCAAAAUGACUCCGUAACUUCGGGAGAAGGAGUGCCUUAUUUAUAAGGUUGCAAUAACAAGAUCCAAGCAACUGUUUAUCAAAAACACAGGUCUCCGCUAAGUCGUAAGACGAUGUAUGGGGGCUGACGCCUGCCCAGUGCCAGAAGGUUAAAGAAGUUGGUUAGCAUUAGCGAAGCUGAUAACUGAAGCCCUGGUGAACGGCGGCCGUAACAAUAACGGUCCUAAGGUAGCGAAAUUCCUUGUCGGGUAAGUUCCGACCCGCACGAAAGGCGUAAUGAUUUGGAUACUGUCUCAGAGAGGGGCUCGGUGAAAUAGACUUGUCUGUGAAGAUGCGGACUACCUGCACCAGGACAGAAAGACCCUAUGAAGCUUUACUGUAACUUGAAAUUGAAAUUGGACUUUAUUUGCGCAGUAUAGGUGGGAGGCAUUGAUAAUAUUCUUGCGGGAAUGUUGGAGCCAUCAGUGAGAUACCACUCUUGUAAUGUUAGAUUUCUAACUUUGGAUCAUUAUCUGGUCAAAGGACAGUUUCAGGCGGGCAGUUUGACUGGGGCGGUCGCCUCCUAAAUGGUAACGGAGGCGCACAAAGGUUUCCUCUGAACGGGUAGAAAUCGUAUCUAGAGUGUAAAGGCAUAAGGAAGCUUGACUGUGAGACCUACAAGUCGAGCAGGGACGAAAGUCGGUCUUAGUGAUCUGACGGUGCUGAGUGGAAAGGCCGUCACUCAACGGAUAAAAGUUACUCUAGGAUAACAGGCUGAUCUCCCCCAAGAGUUCACAUCGACGGGGAGGUUUGGCACCUCGAUGUCGGCUCAUCGCAUCCUGGGGCGGUAGUACGUCCCAAGGGUUGGGCUGUUCGCCCAUGAAAGCGGUACGCGAGCUGGGUUCAGAACGUCGUGAGACAGUUCGGUCCAUAUCCGGUGUAGGCGUUAGAAUAUUGAGAGGAGCCUUCUUUAGUACGAGAGGACCGAGAAAGACAUACCUCUGGUGUACCAGUUAUCGUGCCAACGGUAAACGCUGGGUAGCUAUGUAUGGAGAGGAUAACCGCUGAAAGCAUCUAAGUGGGAAGCCCACCUCAAGAUAAGUAUUCAC
rnacentral:rRNA from 1 species